rnacentral:rRNA from 3 species
CCCAGACAGCCAGGAUGUUGGCUUAGAAGCAGCCAUCAUUUAAAGAAAGCGUAAUAGCUCACUGGUCGAGUCGGCCUGCGCGGAAGAUGUAACGGGGCUAAACCAUGCACCGAAGCUGCGGCAGCGACACUAUGUGUUGUUGGGUAGGGGAGCGUUCUGUAAGCCUGUGAAGGUGUGUCGUGAGGCAUGCUGGAGGUAUCAGAAGUGCGAAUGCUGACAUAAGUAACGAUAAAGCGGGUGAAAAGCCCGCUCGCCGGAAGACCAA